CUUAAAAGCAAUGGAAAGCCACAAGGAGAGUGACAUUAUUAAAUCUAUACCAUAGAGAGGUCAAUCUGCCUUUGGUGAGAAGUGACUAAAAGGCAGUGUACAGCAGGCAGGGAAACCAGUGAAAAUGAGCUUUUAGGAACCAAGAAACAUUAUGAGGCUCUGAUUGGCUAUAAUGGCAAAUGGAGGUGAAGAGAAAGGGAGAUACUGGAGACAUAAUUAGGAGGUAGAAUAAGAGAUUUAGUAAUGGGUUGAAUGAUUCCAAUGUCUUUAGUGGAUGAUGGUGUCAUUCUCCAAAACAAAGAAUGUAAGGGGAAGAACUCAUUUGGGAGGUGAAGGAGGAAGAUAAAGUAAAAAAAAAAAAAAAUUAAUGUCUGUAUGACAUCCAAACAGCUGUCCAGCAGCAUUGCCCCUGAGGCAAAAAAUCUGGGCUGGAGAUGGGAAGUGGAAUUCAGUUCCAUAAAGAAGGUAGUUGAAGUCUAAGGAGUGACUUAAAAUCAUAGGAAACAAGUAUAUACAGAGGACUAACUCCAGAUGCUUAAAGAUCACCAACAUUCAAAAGUCAAUUCCUUCUGUGUCUUCUCUUCUGUUUCUAAGCUGGUUUGCAUCAGAAAGAGAAUUAUCAGGUCAGGAUUUUAAUGCCAACUGCAGAGAAUUCUAUCUCUCUGUUUACAGUUGGUUGAAGCUCUGGUUUUGAGAACAGCGUCUUCAACAACUGUUUUCAACCACUUUAGAGACCUGGUUGGAACAUAGUUUUUCUCUUGUUAACUUAUUGUCAGUGAAAUGUGACAUCCUCCUGGUAACUGGCAAAUGUAUCUCCUACUCUAGUUUGUCCUGUGGUGAGGGAGAGGGGCAGGAAUGUUUUCAUGGUUCCCAAACUGAAAGGAGAGAACUAUGUUCAACCUUUGUGCUGCUAAAAAGAUCUCCAUUUCUUCUCAGAAGUCUUACACUUAAGACUUUUAUACCUUAAAAAUAUAGUCCAUGAUGAAGUUUGGGGGUAAUGGGGGUUCGUGGGGUCACGUCCAAGAAAGAAUUCUUUUUUUAAUGUUUAUUUAUUCUUGAGACAGAGACAGUGUGUGAACAGGGGAGGAGCAGAGAGAGAGGGAGACACAGAAUUGGAAGCAGGCUCCAGGCUCCGAGCUGUCAGCACAGAGCCCGAUGCGGGGCUCAAACUCACGGGCUGUGAAAUCAUGACCUGAGCUGAAGUCGGACACUUAACCGACUGCGCCACCCAGGCACCCCCAAGAAAGACUUCUUGAAGACUUCUUUGGUGCAAAAAGGUGAUUUUAUUAAAGCAUGGGGACAGGACCCAUGGUCACGAAGAGCUGCACUGGGGUCCUGAUGGGUAACUCAUUACCUACCCUCAGAUUGGGAGGGUGUCAGAGCUAGAGUAAGUCUCUAUGGAAUUUUGGAAGCAAAGUUUCCAGGGCCUUGAGGGGCUAGCUGUUGCUAGGGAAACACCAUUUAGUACCAUUUAAUAAAACCUCAGUCAUGAGACCCUUCAGAUGCAUGUCAGGGGGCCAUAAGCUUGGAGUAUGAUUGCCAGCACAUAUCUUGGGGCAGUUGAGAUAAAGGAAAUAGACUUACAGGAUCCUCGAGGUUGGGGCACUAUUAAGCCAAGGUUCUCUUUUGCCCCCAGCAAAAUGUCAUCAUGGAGGCAGCUGAGCUCCUAGAGGGAGGUCACUCUGCCGGUUUCAAGGACUUGUCAAUGGGCUGUAGGCAGUAAGGAAAUUUAAUUUUUCAUUUGCCUCAGUUUCCCACAUCACCAUGGCAAGCACUUAAACCCCUUUCCUUUGUUCUUGGGUAGCUAGGAAUGUCCAAGGAAUAUCACACAGAUCCCACCUGGGUGGGAGGGGGUGCUAGCUUGUGCUUUGCCCCACAGCCUGCCUCAUGCUCCCUCAUCACCUCCUGGUCUGUAACAGAAGAUUUCUUAAUGUUUUGAUAUCACAGGACACCCACUGAUGAGAUUUUUAUGCGUAGAGUUGUAAAGUGUUUCUUUAAAAACUCUUUAUUUUGUUAGGACAACAACAAAAGCCCCAAAGUAACAUUUGGGUGAAGAAGGAAGGAAGGAAGGAAGGAAGGAAGGAAGGAAGGAAGGAAGGAAGGAAGGAAGGAGGAAGGAAGGGAAGGGAGGGAAAAGAGAGAAAAAAAAACCUAAUUAGAUCUUGAAAGGAAACAAGAGGGCUUAUUGUCCGUCCUUCCUGACAUUUCUCACUGCCACUCUGCACUAGACUCCAUUCACGUUCACUACCUGGAAAUCCUGGACCAGGGGAUAAGGUAAGAGUCUGCCUCCUUGACUAACGAACUAGCAAAGGUAUGAAUGGGGGAGAAGAAAACUCUCUGAUGUUCUUCCACCCCUUUAUUCCACAUGACACGACUUCUCAAAGUGAUAUAGGGACUUCACACUUUACUGAAGCAUUAAAUUGGCCAAAAUUAUAAUAUAGAAGAGCAAAUUAUUAAAACUGUAGACAAACAUUUUUACCUUACUCUAAGGGACAAAUGCUUCCCUCUGCUUCACCCUCAUCCCCAGCUCUGCUUUUGUUUCCUAUUCUCAAGCAAGUGACCAAAUAACAUGGGGGGGGAAGGACAUGCCCUUUGCCAGGAGCAAAGCUUUCCUUAUUACAGUAUUAUUCUCUCAGCUCUCUCUUUCACUCAGAAAUGGGAAAAAUAUUGAACAGCAUUUCCCAGACCUACUGCUGGCUAAUAGCAUCAGCUGCUAAUGUUUUAUGAAAUCCAUCCCAGACAAUGUGGAACAUUAAGCAGAACCCACUGGGUUAGCAUUUGCCCCCUUUCCUGCUCUCUCCACAUUAUUUGACCUGUCCUGCUAUGUGAAGAGACUGUCUAGGAUCCAAAGCUUUGUGUCUGCCCAGCAACAAUGAUAGGAAAUGAAUGCCGUCUUGACAUUGCUAAAUGCCCUUUGGGACUGACAUUUGGUGGGCCUUCCAAAGAAAGCUGAGUUUAUUGACACUGUGUGUUUGAUUAUCACUCGCUUUUCUAGGACAAAGGCCCAAAGCAGCCCCUGUUACCAUUUGGCUGGCAUUAAUUCUAUUUCGACUCCUCCUGAUCAAAAACAGAAGCUGUAUCACUGGUGCUCUGGUCUAAAGAUGCCCCGUGUCACCCGUGGGACAUCUGGCCUCAAGUGGCAACAUGUAGAGGGUGAGGAAGGAGACAACUGGAGACACAUUCAGAAAGUUGUAAUAAUAAUCAUAAUAAAUUUACAUAUGCUAUCUUAUUUGAUCCUUAAAUGAGAUAGGUAUUUUUAUCCUUGUUUUAAAAAAUGAAAAAAACUGAAACUCAACGACUUUAGAAAUUUGCCCAAAGGCCUAUAUCUUGGUGGGAGGGGAUGUAUGGAUUUAUGUGAUUCUAGAGCUACAUACUCCAGUAUCUUAGGCUGGGACCCACUAUGUCCCUCUGCCCUGGCCAAGGGGUGCUAUCAUCCAAGAAACUCAGUGACCAGAUCCAGGUGAGUUUUGAGUUUUAUUUUAUUUUAUUUUAAAUUUAUUGUCCCAUUAGCUAACAUACAGUGUAUACAGUGUAGUCUUGGCUUCGGGAGUAGAUUCCCGUGAUUCAUCACUGACAUACAACAGCCAGUACUCAUCCCAACAAGUGCCCUCCUCUAUGCCCAUUUCCCAUUUCACCCCCCACCCCCAAGCCUUCACCCCCAUCAACCCUCAGUUGGUUCUCUGUAUUUAAGGGUCUCUUAUGGUUUGCCUCCCUCUCUGUUUUUAACUUAUUUUUCCUUCCCUUCCCCUAUGGUCUUCUGUUAAGUUUCUUAAAGAAGGGGGAGAAAUGAGAUCUGGCACACAGGAAGGAGUGAUGUUCAUCUUGGGGCUGGGGGAUAGGGCUCUAUUAAGUCCUGGGCAGUAAACUCAUGUGAUUGGGAGAUGGCCUUAGCACUACAGAUCCUACCAAACGGGAGCUCCAUCGACCAUUGUCCUUAGGGAACUUUUAUGUUUAACCUGCGAUCGGUUUAGCAUUAUGGACUCUUAUCCUCGGGGUCUGUACAUGGUCACAGCCUCCAGUAGAGUCGCCUCCAGUUCCACGAGGAACUGGGAGCUAGGGAAAGACAGGACUGAAAUGGGCUGGAUGAUGGAAACCUGGCCCUUUCUCUUAAAGCUUGAAAGGGUAGCCAGUGUCACCAGCAGGAGCAUCAGCUGGGCACCAUGCAGCUAUUUGCAGCUUGACAGCCUCUGCUGAAUUAUUGAUACCCCUCAGUACCUCGGGACCUCCCCCUUGUUAACAAAUCGCGCUCCAUAUUAAAAUUUAAAGAGGCAAAUGAGUGCAAUCUCUCGCCCUAUUAUUCCCCCCUUCUUUUGCCAUCUGAGCUCUAAUUUUUAAGUCAAUCAGCCUGAAAGGUGUCUCUUGGGAGAUGGCACAGCUCAGACAGCCAAACCCAGGACAGGAAAACCAAAGGCCACGAGUAACACCAUGACCUGAGCCCUGAGUCAAUUAAUGGAGUCUGAGUGACUCUGGGCCAGGUGAGUACUGACUCUCUCUGAGUCACUGAAAUGAAUAAGAAAUCUGUUCACCUACUUCCUGGGACAGCAGCCCCUGUCCAGUUUGUCACAUCCCUAAAACUUCCCUAAAGCACAGUAUGAAAACUUUUAAGUUGUGAUCCAAAUUUGGAUUUGGGAUGCUCUGUUUGGUCUGCAGAGUCAUGGUUUUUUUUAAUGAAAAGAGUUUCUAAAAAUUUUAAAAAUAGGAGGUUUUACACAAAUAUCAGAUUUUCUGACUUUUCUUGAGAGAUCAAAGGACUUGGGUGUUCAUUUGCACAUUGUACCACUUCCAAGGGCUGACAGGGGCUGCUCCUUUAUUUUUUAUUUUUUUAAUGUUUAUUUAUUUAUUUAGAGAGAAAAGAGGGGCAGAGAGAGGGAGAGGGAGAAUCCCAAGCAAGCUCUGCACAGAGCCCGGUGCAGGGCUCGAUCUCAUGAACCACAAGAUCAUAUAUGACCUGAGUCAAAAUCAAGAGUAGGACACUUAACCAGCUGAGUCAUCCAGGUGCCCCCAUGUAGCUGCUCUUUUAAAUGAGGUAAGACUUCUUUUCUUUGCCACAGUCUCUACCCUUUCCAUUAAUGACUGAAUCUGUGACCCUUGGGCUCGAGAAGGAUAGCAAGCGUUUCUGUGUGCCAGCUCAAGUCUGUUAGCAGGACUGCCUGGGGUCCCAUAAUUGAUCUGAUCAGUUAUGACAGAUUGCAUUGCACUUUGCAAUUGUUCACCUCCCCUUCCCUGUAAGAGGAUUGUACAUCUCUGACUGUUGCCAUGUGACUAUGUGCAGAUUCUUGAAACAGACACUCUGAGAGGCAUUGUGGGUUAUCACCGGCUGUCUGGCUCUUUUCCUCUGCCAUGGGCAUAACGUACCCUGUGAUCCUUCAGCCUGAAUCCCCGUAGGACAAGGACACAUGGUGCAGACCAGCAGCUGGCUUACAGGUUGGAGCUGAGCCACACCCUUGACAGAGCAGCAGCCGACCCACAACCUUCAGUAAUAUGAGUAAGUCAGCUGUAAGCAACUGAGAAUUGGGGGAUUAUUUGUCACUGUAGUAGAACUAACCAAUACAGCAAGGCCAGGAUUGCUAUAACAAGGUACUGUGAUGAAAAAGCAAGAUUGUCUUAUUUUUGGAGAAGAGAAACAUGAUGGCCUUAGGGAAUUCUUAAACAACAUUAAUUUUGGUUGUUUUUAAUUUAAAAAAUAACUUAAGAGGAUUCUGGAAAGAUAAUGGCAGUGGCCUCAGAAGAACCGGGUUGAGUUCCCGAGUGCAUAUUUAAUGAAUAAUUUUCCUUUUAUCAAAAACUUAUCUUUUAAAAAAUCAUAUGUGUACUGAAGCUUAUUUUCAGUUAAUUUCACUUUGUAUUAGUAAAGAGGACAUUGCAAAAUACUUGUCAUGUAAAGGGUGUCUGGCGUCUGAAAGAGUCUUCACCACUGCUUAUUAUGAGGAUCAAAGGGGCUGAACUAUUUGAAAACGCUUUGUCAGUACUACAUGAGUACAAAUGCUAGUUUUUACUAGGUUUGUGGUGAUAUGGCAUCGUUUUCUCGUUUUCUCCAGUAGGAGGCAGGUCAGGCGUUACUGUCCCCAUUUGACAGAUGUACAGACUGAGUUAGUAAGCAGGGACUUGUCAGCUAGUUAAGGAGAGAACUGAAGGAGAGUCAAUUUAUCAUUCAGACUAGGGCACCAGCAAUCUGUCCGUUGCCUUAUACACAAAGGGGCCAACCAGGGACUUUUGAAUAAUCUUGCUAAUACCCAGAUUUCUAGUCUAAUGGUGUCAGUUAUAAUGAGAUUUGGCCUGUGUUGGUUUCUUAAUAGUAGCCAAAACCUAAUUAAUUAUCUACUUCCGUAUAUAUCUACCUUCUGCCUCCUUUGGCCCACGGCAUUGCUUCUAAUUUACAUUUUCAGUUCAUAAUGUCAAUAUUCACCAGCCCCUUUCCAUCCUUGAUUAACCUGGUCAUUCUCUGAGCCAUCUGGUGGUAGGCAUGGUAGUUUUCUUAUUUAAGAAUUAGCAUAUGGGGCGCCUGUGUGGCUCAGUUGAGCGUCCAACUCUUGAUUUUGGCUUAGAUCAUGAUGCCAGGAUCAUGGGAUCAAGCCUCUCUCUUAAAUAAAUAAAUAAAUAAAUAAAUAAAUAAAUAGCACAUGUGUCAUAUUAGUUUGAAACAUCCAUAGCCUGCAAAGUCAAAUUCCAAGAGUUGCAGUUUGGUAUCAUUCAGUAACUUUGGACUGUGUUGUCUGUUACAACUCUAGGUCAUUCUUUUGGACAUGAAGGGCAUUUUGUUACCUGGAAGGUAUCUAUGUCCCAUGGAUGGCCAGAACACUCAAGGAUAGGGACUGAAACAGAGUGCCUGGUGCUAGCUGGCACAUCCCCCUUUCAGGAGACGCUGGUUUGGGGCAGAAGCUGGGUCACUGGUUAGCUUUCCUCUGCUGUCAGAAUCCUGGGGGUCUCCCGGGGCACAUGGCCUCCGGAGUCCUCAAGGAUUUGGGAAUGCCAUGUCAGGUGCUCAGGAUUUGCGGGCAGGCAGGCCGUGUAGCGUGGUUCUUGCUCUGGAACAGCUGUACGUUUGGAAUGAGAGUUUCCACUGCUUGUGUUCUUUGCUCACUUCUAACUGCUUCAUGGAAAGUAGGCUUAUGAUGCCACCCCAUUAGGGAAAAGAUACGUUUUCCACUGACUUAAAAUUUGUUUUUUUAAAGAGGAGGAUAUACUGGACCAGAAGCGGGUCAGCAACCACCAGGUGUUGGGGAUGUUUCCCAGGGGUCAGGAAGAGCUCAGAAGAGCCAUUUGGGGGUGGAAGCAGUGAGGCCGGAGGUUAUCCUGGUCUGAAGAGGAAACCUCACCUGGAGGCACCGGAUCCUUAGGGCAGUCCCUCCUGGCCCCCGGCCCAGGCUUCUCUUGCAUUUUCCACAACCUCCCUAAUGUUAACGUUUCUUAAAGCCCCAAGACCUUUGGUAAAUUUUUCUCAGGGUCAGGCGUGAGGGCAAGGGGCUCCUCAAAGCACUACAUUCAGUACGCUGACCCCCCUCCCAACAAUCAAGUAUCAUCUGACUCCCAGCUUUUCUCCCUGUUCAGUAACGUGGCCCAUUUUCUAUGUACAGGGAACCAAAGUGCUCCCGUUAGAGAGGUUCCUGCCCAUGCAACCUCCACUCAGCGUUUCUGGUCACCUUCUCCAUAGAAGCACUAGCGCAAACCAAGGUUGUGUGCCCUGACGUCCCUCAGCACGUAGUCAGCAUGUGGCACCUUGUCCCCCCAGCCCCACAUGAAGAAGGCAAUUAAAACCCCAUCCCUAAUGUUUCACAGACACACAUACCCACACUUCUCUUUACCUCAGUCGCUUUGAAGGCGGGAGCAAUGACCGCCAUCUCAGCUGUGAGAAGGCAAAGCCUCCCACAGGUUACACUACUUGACGAAGCCACACUGCCAGGAACCUGCAGAGCCAGCAGAGACAGCCUUUCACUUGGAGUCCUGUCUUCUCCUACUGGGAUCCGCCGCCUGGGCCUGUGAAGCGCAGGAUCCUCCUAUGCUACAAGGAAAUUCCCUUCUGUUUACCCCCGGGUGCCAUUUUCCCUUCUCCCCACUUGGUUCCCAGAGCAGCCUUUCCACUUCAGCUUAGCUUCAGCCACAUCAAGGGUCCUUCCUCAGCUGUCUUCCCUCUUCACCCUGGACUCUUACUCAGUAUAUCUUUUCAAACUUGUGUUUCUUUUACAGUCUUCUCUGAUGGAUGGCUUCCUCUCUUCCCCAAGUCCUCAACAAAGACUUCUCUUCCUUGAGGUUUUUCAGUGGCUCCUUAUGACCUACCCGAUAAAUGCAUAAUCUUUAACCCAGCAUACAAACCUUCUCUCCUCGUCUAUUUCUAUUCUUACCGCUCCUCCUUAUGAAUCCUGUAUUCUAGCCAUCUUUCUUGGAUUCGUGUCCCUCACUUUCAACUCUGAAUCGCUUAGGGCCUAAAGGUCCUCACUUCUACAGGGUGCUGUCCCUGACUUCUCUCCCCUCUUCAGGCCUAGAGCACUGGGUUUAUGUCACUUAUAAGACAUCACACUUUGGAAGUCUGGUUACUUUUUUGCAUGUGUGCGUGUGUGUGCACACAACAGGCGUGAUCUCCACCGCCAGUGAGGGAAGUCUUUGAGGGAAGGGAUCCCGUCUAGUACAUCUUCAUUUCUUGCUUUACAGUGCUCCUUACUGUAAUAACUCCUUAUAGCUAAUGCUGUAUAAUUCCUGGCUCAGUAACUGAGUAAAUCACGAUUCAUGACCUUGGCUCUGGCUGUUGCUUCAUUGCCAACCUAUUAUGUGGCCACAGUUCCUACUAUGUGCAGAACUCAAAGAACACCAGCCCAAUGCCUACUGCCCCAAGUUUGCCCACUGGGUGUCGUGCUGGUUACAGAAUCCAUAGGGCUGUGGUCUCAUUUGCUCAUAGAUUAUCUGGAAGAGCAAGGUACAUGUGAGAACUGUUUGAAAUUUCAUUUGAUUAUCUGAGAUCUGAGUGAUACUCAGAAAAUACAGUAAAUAGUGGCUACUAUUAUGGUGGCUGAGACUAUAAAUAUUAUGACCAAAGAUAAAGUCAGGAAUUAAAGCUAAAAUUAAAGAAAGGAAAACCUUCGUUUCUCCACGCUUCCUUUGAGUCCCUUCCUGCUAGAAGAAGGGCAAAGGGAACCACGUUGCUUGGAGAAGAAUUCAGAGAGGCUGAGAAUAAGGCACAGGUGUGUAAACACACACAAUAAUUACCUCAUUAAUAUGAAAACCAGUAGGAAACAGACUCAUUCCAGAGGGCAGGGAUGGGCCAGCAUAGAAUGCUCUAGAAGGAGCCUCUGGCCAGCGUUAUAAUUCUUCUGAGGUGUGGGGCUGGCUUGCAAUGUUUUUCCAGCCCCUGCAGCUGUGAAGGAGGAGCCGAGACCACCCAAGAGCGCCCUCUAAUCCCACUUCCAGUCUUCCUCACCUUCCUCUACUCGCUGUAGGUGUUGACUUCAUAGUACCUCAUGUUAGCCUUCACAUGUGCUGUCCCCGGUGAGGACCGGCAGUACUAUAAUCCUAACAGCAGAGAUGAAGGACUGACAUGUGGAGAAAAUACGCAUCUUGCCGAAACUUGUUUGCAGUAAAAGACAGUGAAAGAAAAACAUGGGAGGAGAUCAAGCUCUCAGGCAUACAAACUGUCCUUAGAUGAACCCAACGUACACUUUGUUUAUUUUGUGACUCUUCACUGCCCUCCUCACUUCUAGCCUUCAAAAGGUUAGGUGUCCCCCAUAUCCCUUGCAGAGCAAGAGCCCAUCGAUGGACUUGCAUUCUUUCUUCCAGACUACACAGAUUUCCUCACCUUAGUAAAAGCCCCUCAUGGGCCUCCUCUCACAGAGAAGGGAAUGGAGAUGCCCAGGCUGUCUGGAAUGACUUGCUCAAUGUCAUUGAACGUGUGGUGGCCGAGUCAAAUUUAUAGGGAAAGCUGCUGCUGACGGGGUCUGUCCUCCAACCAGCAGCCUGGGUCGGUGAGUAUCUCUGUAUGGCAUGUUUUUCUCUUGGCUACCUUCAAAGCUCCUACCCGAUGUUUUCUUAUUCAAUUACUUCUCGAGUAAUCUGUUCCUACAGACUUGGCCUCACUAUUGCCAGCAUUUACAACCUCCUUCAUGCAUUUCCUUAAAAAUGUGCAAGCUCUGCCAUUUGGCAAGCUCUGUCAGAGGUAGGAGACAUCUCUGUUGUGUCAGUCUCCACUCCCACCUCACUGCUAGUUUUUCAGAAUGAAAUGAAAGUGUCCCUGAGCAUCCCAGGAACCGUUGGCUGACGAAGCCAUUUCACCUCUAGAGUUGACUUCCACUUGCUCAUUGCCAUGGCCCACUGAGGGCUCAGUAGCAUUCCGUGGAGACUAGGAUUUCACUGCAGCCUCUUACUUGUGCAUUCCAGGCAUCUGGCCUGGAAAACACAGUGGCAAGAGCUGGUGGGACACCAGGGGGUAGCAGUGGAAGGGGUGGGUUUUCACACAGGGAAAGUCAAAGGACUUGAGUUCCAUUCUGUGGUGGACAUUGUAUAGGGUAUCAGACAAAUCAUGUACCUUGUCUUUGCUUUAGUUUCUUCUUUGGUAAAAUAAAGAGAAUACUAAUUUUAAUUUGCUUGCAUGGUCAGUAAGUGCAAAAUAUUUUCUGAAGCUUUGUAUGUCCAGAUAAGGCCUGGAGUGUGAUUAGAAGGAGUUUAAGCAGGUGUGCUCUGGCUGUGCCCCAUAAUAACCCAGGGACCUUGGGCACAUUACCUAAUAUCAUCAAUCCCAGUCCCUUCAACUAGAACAAGGGAAUAAUAAUUAGUACCUACCUCACAGGGUUGGGUGAGGUUUAAAUGACUCAAUGUUUAUAAAACACUUAGAGUCGUGUCUGGCAUUUCUUUAUUGCUUAGUGCAGUAAUAGCAGUCAGAGCAAAAUUAAACUAGCUCAGAUGAAUGGAGUUAUGGGUCUAGUCUAUUCAUUAACUGAUAGCAUUUAACAAGCUGAUCUUAAGUUUUAUACAGAAGAGCAAAGGACAAAGGAUAAAGAGAGGCAGUUUUGAAAAAAAAAAAAAAAGUAGGAAACUAGCCUUGCCCAAUAUCAAGACUUCUUAGAGUGUUACAGCAGUGAUGAGAGGUGGUACCAGUGCAGGAAUAGAAAAAUAGACCCAAAGACUGGAGGACAACAACUAAAAUAUCCCAUCUUUAAGUGAAAGUUUGGUAUUACAGAGCAGAAGAGGGAUGGACCAUUGGUUAUCCAGACAGAGAAGAAUAAAAACACAUCACACACAAAAAUCAAUUGUCAGUGCAUUAAAAAGCUCUACAUGAAAGCAAAAAUGUAAUACAUUUAUAAGGAAAUAUAGGAAAGCAUUUCUGAUUUAAGGGCUAAGGAAUGAUUCCUUAGACAAUGUAUAAAGGGAAAAACCAUAAUGGAAAAUGGUGGCACAUUUGACUACACUAACAUUAAAUUUUAAACUGACUUUUUUUGAAGAAUGUCUCCAUAAACAAAGAUUAAGAGAGACACUGGGAGGGAAUAUUGGAAACCGACCAUUGAUAAAAGCCUCGUAUCCAGAGUUUAAAAAAACACUACAACUCAGCAAGAAAAAAAUAGAAAAUAGGCAAAACAUAAAACGAUAGUCAUUAAUUACCAAUAAACACAUAAGAGAUGCUCAAGGCCCCCAGUCACUAACAAACUACAAAUUAAAACAACCAUGAGAUACCAUUACUCACUCAUCAUGUUGACCAAAAUUUUAAGUCUGAUCAAAACAAGUAUAAGCAAGGAUAAUAGACGCAAAUCCUCCCAUACUACUUUGUACCUAGUUAUGACCACUUUGAGUCAGAUUCCACUUCUAGGCAUAUAACCUAAUGAAAGUGUCACAUCAGCAUGGGAGAUUUAUAGAAGAAUGUUGAUUGCAACACUGUUAGUACUCGGGUAAAAAAGGGGAAAUGACCUAAAUGAUCAUCAGGAAUGGACAAAUAAUUUAUGGUAUAGCCAUACAAUGGAACAUCAUACAGAAAUUUAAAUGAAUGGACUAGGAUUACAUGUAUUAACACGGAUAAAUCCCCAAAACAUAAUGUUGAAUGACAAAAAGCAAAUGACAGAAGAAUAGAGACGAUAGGAUGCCAUUUGUGUAAAACUUAAAAGCAUAUAAAACAGGGCGCCUGGGUGGCUCAAUGGAUUCAGUGUCUGACUCUUGAUUUCAGUUCGGGUCAUGGUCUCAUGGUUUGCGAGAUGGAGCCCCUGUCCGGCUCUGCACUGUCAGCUUGGGAUUCUCUCUCUCUCCCUCUCUCUCCACUCCUCCUGUGCUCGCUCCCUCUUUCUCUCUCCCUCAAAAUUGAAUAUGUAAACACUUAUAGAAAGCAUGUAAAACAAAGAUCAGAGAAAGACAAAUAUCAUAUGACUUCACUCAUAUGAGGACUUGAAGACACAGAACAGGUGAACAUAAGGGAAGGGAAGCAAAAAUAGUAUAAAAACUGGGAGGGGGACAAAACAUAAGAGACUCUUAAAUAUGGAGAACAAACGGAGUGUUACUGGAGGGGUUGUAGGAGGUGGAAUGGGCUAAAUGGGUAAGGGGCUCCUGAAAUCAUUGUUGCAUGUAUGCUAACUAAUUUGGAUGUAAAUUAAAAAAGUAAAACAAAUUAAACAAAGAUAGACACAUAAGACACCUACAUGAGGAGUAGUAUAGAACAUGAAGGAGGGUGACAAACAUCAGAUUUUGGAUGAUGGCCACCUGUAGGAUGGCUUAGAGAAGGGGUGCACAGGAGACUUCAAGUAUAGUUGUAAUAUUUUAUUAUUUAAAAAAAAUAGUAAAUAGGUCAAAAUGUUAAGGUUUGAUAAAGUUAGGUGGUGGGCACCCAAGUGUUCGUUAUGUUAUUUUCUCUCACUUUGUCCCCCUUUACAGGAUUUUGUAGUCCAUUUUUAAAAAUUCUAAAUUGGCUCCUACUUCCAACACAAAGGAAGAUGAAGCAUAACUGUUUGCCAUUAAAGUGCUAAUAUAUGACCUGCCACCUCCUUCCAACAGCCCAGGACAAGUGCCCCUAGCACCUGCCACAGUGCAUGGCUCCAGAAGGGCUUGCAGUAAAUGAAGAUGUAAAAAAAAAAUGAAUGGAUGAAAGGGCCUAUCCUUAGAAAUGGAGGCCUGGUCAUAUGUUCACUAUGCCUUUUUUUGUCAUUAAGUCACACUCCGAGAGUCAUUUUCCUCCCAUCCAUCUCACUCAGUCUGAGUUGCCAUCUAGUAUAAUAAUUCGGGGGGAUUACCUUUAGGGACCAUUGCUUGCAAUUCAGUCCUGGCUGUGCUCUGAAUUCAUUAGUGUUUUUGCAGCAUUGUGCAUUACUCAGAAGAAUGAUCCUCUCUCAGAUUAGGGCAUUGCUGUCUCUGUCAUAUUCUAGUAAUAAUAAUAACCAAAAGCAAACGUGAGGAAGUAAAAUCCCCAGGGAGGCCUUUCUCUUCAAUUAAGGAGUUCUAAUGCAUCAUAGUUCCACCAUGCAUGUGACUCAGUUGUCCUUUAUAAAUGCAGGGGGUGUUUCCUUUUGUGGCUCUGCUGCUGUUUCUCCUUCAUGUCUCUCUCCUGGUGCUGCUGCUUCUCUCUGUACAUGCAGACAAACAUAUGUGAAAUAGAUGACAUGGGGAUUUAUACCUGUUUAUUGACCUAGCCAGCGUGCACUUCUAAGAUUCUUUUGGUGUCAUCCUAGGAAAUAUAAUAUGGUAGCUUAAUUGGUUGGUAAUGGUGCUAAUAAAGGUAGAGUCUUAAGUUCUAUCCCCUAAAAGCCAGAAUGAUUUUCUUUGUUCAGCAAGAUGCAGAGGGCAUCUCAAAUCUUGGCAAAUGUAUCCUCAUUUAUAUAUGGCAGAUUGGACAAGGCAGGGUGGCAAGAAUCAUGUCAAAUGUGCCACUACCAUCAGAAUUCAAAAUUGACCCCACCCUGGUGAGUCUGUGGAUUCCUUUUAUGAGGAAAGGAGAGUAUCUUAGUGGUUCGAAAGGGUUAGUAAUGUCCCAACUCACCUACAAACGUGAAACUGAGGAAGUGGUCUGGGCUGAGAUUCCCACCUUUUACUGCUGAAGAGUAGAAAAUAGAUUUGGUUAUUCUUACUUGUGAUGUUUCUGAAUCUGAGUAUUCAAAGAGAAAUAAAAGGUGACAAACUCAAGCAAAGAGAAAUUUGGGCUGAAUCUCUGGGGAAAGAAAUCACAGUGAAAUCCAUUAGACUGUGUAAUAGUUUCCCAAGGGGAAUGACAUAAACCUCAUAGUUUUGCAGUCGUUUAAAUGUAGACCAAUCCAUGCAUUUCUGAGAGACCCCAGGGAACAAUCUUGCACUGAGGAGAGAAUAGGGAAGGUGAUAGGCCAGAUGACCUAAUAGUUCUUUUUCAACUUAAUUUCUAGGAUUGUGGGAUUCUAAUUAAAAUGAACUAUAUUGCCUAUUAUGAACCCAUUACAUUAGUAUUCGGUAAGGUCUCCAGGCAAGCCAAGGGAAUUUCAGCUUUUUCUUAUUUCUGGAGAGCUAGAGUCCACGAGCCACCUUAACCACGUUGUUGGUGCCCAUGCACUGACUUCUCUACCAAUAAUGGUCAACUUAAAGUCUUUAGAAGAAGUUAAAGCACAUACUAUGAAUUAACAUUUUAUUCAAAGCAAUCCAGUGGUAUGAAAAGGAUGCCUUGAUAUGUGUCACGACAAUAAAUAUCGUGAGCCGGCUCUGUGAUGGAAGCAAUUGCCACCAAGCAACAUCUGGGAUGAAAAUCUGCUUUCUCACAUCCAGCCCUGACUCUUCCUUUCAGUUUCCACCAAAGCUUGAAAAGGAAUGUUGAUCACUGGAGAAAUCAUAGUAUUUCUGGGUCAGAGGUCCUGCCAUCAUGGAACUACCCAGUUUUCCACUGACAUUAGCUUCAUUUCCUUGACUGUCCUCCAGAAAUGGACUCCAGUGAGGAAACUCAGGCAAGGCCAUUAACAGGCUGUCCAGGGCUGGUCUGAGAACACCAGCCAAGGGACAGAGGGCACUGUAGCCUCCAAAGUAGCAAUAGUAGGGCAAAUGGAAGAGAGUGGUGGUUCAGUUGCCCCAUGUGGUGUUUUAGGUAAAUAUAGCUGGUGCAUAAAAGAAAGAGUGGUAAGAAAAGAAAAAAAAAAAAAGGAGGCGUGCCUGGGUGGCUCAGUCAGUUAAGCAACCAACUCUUGACUUCGGCUUAGGUCAUGAUCUCACAGUUUGUGAGUUCAAGCCCCACAUGGGGCUCUGUGCUGACAGCAUAGAGUCUGCUGGGGAUUCUCUCUCCUUCUCUCUCUGCCCCUCCCCUUCUUGCUCUCUAUUUCUCUCUCUCAAAACAAAUAAAAAUAAACUUAAAAAAAUUUUUUAAGUAAUAAAAUAUUUCCUAUGAUUUAAAAAAGGGGUGGUAACAUAUAGCUAGUAAACUAUUUUAUCAGACUUUCUUGAGGAUCCCCAAAAGGUCCCUGAUGGUCCAUAGAACUCUACCAACAGGAAGUAGACAUUGGCAUGCAUCAGAGAAUAUUAAGGUCUACCUAUUUUAAAUUAUAAGCUGGUCUCUAAUUAGCCUGCAGGGAGGUUUGUUUGUUUGUUUUUUUUAAUGUUUUAUUUCUUUUUGAGAGACAGAGAGAGAGAGAGACAGGGCACGAGUUGGGGAGGGACAGAGAGAGAGGGAGACACAGAAUCCAAAGCAGGCUUCAGGCUCUGAGCUGUCAGCACAGAGCCCAACGUAGGGCUCAAACUCACAAACUGUGAGAUCAUGACCUGAGCUGAAGUCGGAUGCUUAGCCGACUGAGCCACCCAGGUGCCCUGCAUGUAGGGAGUUUCUAUGGAAAUUGAAGAUAUCACUCUUCAAUAGUACAGGAGUAAAGCAUCAGGUAGGGAGAAGAACUGGAAGGUCCCUAUUCCUUCAAGAGUCAGUUGGUGUCACCUCACUAUGACAUUGUCCCUUACUCCUUUGGACAGAUUCCAGGAGCUCUCACUUCCAUUGUAAUAUUUCUGGUAUGUAGUUAACAGUGUAUAUACAUCCAUAUCCUACAGAGAGGGGAGAGACUGCAUCAUUUUAUCUAUUUCCGCCAGAGGAUAGCUCAGUCCCGACAUAGAAGGCUUAAUAAUUAAUAAAAACAUGUUAGGUUGUUAUAAUGAUAUCUUAGAACCUUGAUUUCUUUAUCUAUAAAGUAGAUUAGUAAUAUUAACUCAGAUGGCUGUUGUGAGGACUAAAAUGCCAGAACAAAGUCCUUAGGACAGUGCCCAGCACUUAAAUAACAUGCAGUUCUUUCUCCCACAUUUUUGGUAUGGGAGGGUUUUUAUUUCUGGUUCUGAUAAACUACCCAGGCCCAAAGUGUUUCUUAAAGCAGCAAAUAAGGUUGCGGUUUAAUUAUGUGUCCAGGUUAGGUCAGUGUUUUGUACCCUAAAAGCGUGAUAGAGGUUGUACCAGCUCCAGCACAAAUUUUGGGGCAUUCAGCCUUUUUCUUAUCACCCGCUUGGCCAGAUGUACACCAUGAAUAAGGGAGAUUUCUGAGAUGGUCAUACUUGAUUCAAUUUCAGACACCCAUGAAAUAAACUUGGAGAAUGAGUGAGUAACUCAUCAGUGAUGAUAACAGUGGAGAUCGGAAGGGGGCCCUGUUUUUGUUUGUGGAUCAUCAGAAUUUCACCCUUGCUGUCCCAGAAUACCUUCAGGCCUUCCCUGAGAACUCCCCUAGAGGUAUCUUCACUCUUUUUUCUUGCUUUAUUUCUACAAAACAAGAAGCAUCUAGAGGGUGACUUCUGAAGGAGGUUUGUGCGGUCAAAACACCCUGGAGCGCAGUGGUGGGUCUGCGGAGCCAUCCUGGGACUGGUCGGCAGGAAAGAGCACACGGAAUGGCCUACUUCCAACCAAAGCCGGGAUUCCACUUUCCCACCAGCUCUGAAUUCACCUCUCGCAGGUGCACUGGCGUCACCUCGCGGCCUGCAGGUCGGUCCUCUCAGAUGACCUCUGAUUGCUGCACUGGGCACUGGACCUACAAGAAGCAAAGGAGGCCAAGAAGAGGAAGAGGUGGGUGCUGCCAGCACCCAGUUGCCGCCGAAGGCACUUGCUCUGUUGUGAGCCCAGUACCGGGCGAUGCAUCGGUCCCUUCCGCCCCAAGCGCCAUGCCUGCCCGGGUAGUUCCCUCUGCCCUGAAAAAUUAGAAGAGAAGUGUACUAUCCUCCCUAUCUUGUGAGUUGCUGACUGUCAAGAAUGGAAAGAAUUUGAAAAAGCAGCUGAGAAAAUCAUCCCUUACCCCAUUUUCAGGUAAAAUCACACCAGUUUUCCUUGGGAGAUGAACUCUCCAUCACUGAAUGAAUACUUGAUGACCUACCCUACUGAAUUAAAGGUGUGGAAAGUAACAUGAGCCAGACCAGCUUUACAGAUGGAAACACUGAAUCUCCAAGAGGCGGUGAAAGCGGCCCACGGUCCCACCUUAGGAGGCUAGAAGGAGGCACACACCUGCCUGCCCCCCGGAAUGGACACUCUCCGUCGCACCCAGACACUGCCUCCACCGACGCACAACACAUACAGGACCCGCAGUAGUUUCGGUUACAUAUAAAAAAACCAACUCUUUAUUUACCUGAGCUUCUCCUCAUGUCCCUGGACAAGUAAUUAAACCAAAUCAUUGACCUCUU